rnacentral:rRNA from 1 species
AGUGAACGCUGGCGGUAGGCUUAACACAUGCAAGUCGAACGGUAGCACAGUACGAGCUUGCUCGUACGGUGGGCAAGUGGCGAGUGAGUGGGGAAUACCUUGCAAUCUACUCUUUCGUGGGGGAUGACGAAGGGAAACAUACGCUAAUACCGGAUACGACCUACGGGUGAAAGCAGGGGAGCUUCGGACCUUGCGCGAUUGAACGCGCCGUAGUCGCAUUAGCUAGUUGGGGGGGUAAAGACCCACCAAGGCGACGAUCCGUAGCUGGUCUGAGAGGAUGAUCAGCCACACUAGAACUGGGACGCGGUCCAGACUCCUACGGGAGGCACCAGUGGGGAAUAUUGGGCAAUAGGCGCGAGUAUUACACAGCCAUACCACGUGGGUGGAGGAGGCCUUCGGGUUGUAAAGACCGUUUUUGGGGAAAAAAAAGCAGCAGGUUAAGACGCCGCUGUACUGACGGUACCCAAAGAAGAAGCACCGGCUAACUUCGUG